rnacentral:tRNA from 2 species
UAGACGCGCUAGCUUCAGGUGUUAGUGUCCUUACGGACGUGGGGGUUCAAGUCCCCCCCCUCGCACCAAAACCACGUUGAUAUU